CAGUGGAGACGCCGUCGCUUGGGUAGAAGACGGUUGCCGUGGGGAUGGCUCUGAACAUGGCCAGGUCCUCCAGACCCAUCUGAGAGGGUCCAUCCUCACCUAAAUAUACCACAAACACCACAGCACCAACAAAGACGUCAGGUGUGAACGUCACCUCACCGGCACUGGGUGUCCUUCCAGGAUGGAGUCGACCUUGCGGAGGUUGAGGAGCUCGUUCUCCUUCAGGUAGCCUGUCUCCGCCCACACGGCGUACAGCACAGGAGCCGCAUGACCCUGAGGACAUAGGGGUCAAAGUGGAUAUGAGUCAAUUAUUUGGACACUGGACGCACUAUUAGAGGUUUCUGUGCCCCGGCCACCUGUACGUUACCUUGGAGAGGACAAACCGG